rnacentral:rRNA from 1 species
AAUCAACGCUGGCGGCGUGCCUCAGACAUGCAAGUCGAACGAUUAAAGCUCUCUUCGGAGAGUGCAUAGAGUGGCGCACGGGUGAGUAACACGUAAGUAAUCUACCUUCGAGUGGGGAAUAACGUCCGGAAACGGACGCUAAUACCGCAUAAUGCAGCGGCAUCGUAAGAUGACAGUUGUUAAAGAUUUAUCGCUUGAAGAGGAGCUUGCGGCAGAUUAGCUAGUUGGUAGGUAAUGGCUUACCAAGGCUACGAUCUGUAACCGGUCUUAGAGGACGGUCGGUCACACUGACACUGAAUAAC